AGUAUUCUUCUGUCUAGUUUUUAUGUGAAGAUAUUUCCUUUUCCACCACAGGCCUUAAAGCGCUCCAAAUGUCCACUUGCAGAUUCUACAAAAAGAGAGUUUGAAAACUGCUCAAUCAAAAGAAAGUUUUAAAUCUGUGAGAUGAAUGCACACAUCACAAAGAAGUUUCUAAGAAUGCUUCUGUCUAGAUUUUAUGUGAGGAUAUUUCCUUUUCUACCAUAGGCUGCAAAACGCUUCAAAUGUCCACUUGCAGAUACUACAAAAAUAGUGUUUCCAAACAGCUCAAUCAAAUGAAAGUAUCAACUCUGUGAGAUGAACCCACACAUCACAAACUGCUUUCUCAGAAUUCUUCUGUCUAGUUUUUAUGGGAAGAUAGUUCCUUUUCCACCAUAGGCCUCAAAGCUCUCCAAAUGUCCACUUGCAGAUUCUACAAAAAGAGUGUUUCCAAACUGCUCAAUCUAAG
rnacentral:lncRNA from 1 species